GACGAACGCUGGCGGCGUGCUUAACACAUGCAAGUCGAACGGAAAGGCCCUGCUUGCAGGGUACUCGAGUGGCGAACGGGUGAGUAACACGUGGGUGAUCUGCCCUGCACUUCGGGAUAAGCUUGGGAAACUGGGUCUAAUACCGGAUAGGAGCCAUCUUUAGUGUGGUGGUUGGAAAGUUUUUUCGGUGUAGGAUGAGCUCGCGGCCUAUCAGCUUGUUGGUGGGGUAAUGGCCUACCAAGGCGGCGACGGGUAGCCGGCCUGAGAGGGUGUACGGCCACAUUGGGACUGAGAUACGGCCCAGACUCCGACGGGAGGCAGCAGUGGGGAAUAUUGCACAAUGGGCGGAAGCCUGAUGCAGCGACGCCGCGUGGGGGAUGAAGGCCUUCGGGUUGUAAACUCCUUUCGCUAGGGACGAAGCUUUGUUGUGACGGUACCUAGAUAAGAAGCACCGGCUAACUACGUG
rnacentral:rRNA from 1 species